rnacentral:rRNA from 1 species
CCUACGGGCGGCAGCAGUGGGGGAUAUUGCACAAUGGGGGGAACCCUGAUGCAGCGACGCCGCGUGGGUGAAGGAGGGUUUCGGCGCGUAAAGCCCUAUCGGCAGGGAAGAAGAUGACGGUACCUGACCAAGAAGCCCCGGCUAACUACGUGCCAGCAGCCGCGGUAAUACGUAGGGGGCAAGCGUUAAUCGGAAUUACUGGGCGUAAAGCGAUCGUAGGCGGUAUGGCAAGUCAAGGGUGAAAUCCCCGCGCUGAACGUGGGAACUGCAUUUGAAACUGGCAAACUGGAGUGUGUGAGAGGUUAGUGGAAUUCCAGGUGUAGCGGUGAAAUCCGUAGAUAUCUGGAGGAACAUCAGUGGCGAAGGCGACUAUCUGGCACAUAACUGACGCUGAGGAGCGAAAGCGUGGGUAGCAAACAGGAUUAGAUACCCGUGUAGUC